rfam:Picea glauca, whole genome shotgun sequence.
UCUUAUGUACAUUCCUACAACAUAGCUUUAAUGCAUCAGAUCCCAUUAGAACUCCAUAGUUAAGCGCACUUGGGCUAGAGUAGUACUAGGAUGGGUGAUCUUGUUAGGGACCUAACCCCUCACUUAGGUA